ensembl:snRNA U1 U1 spliceosomal RNA
AUCCUUACCUUCCAGAGGAGACAUCAAGGCCAUGGAGAUGUUUUCUUCAGGGCGAGGCUCACCCACUGCACUUGGGGUGUGCUGACCCCUGCGAUUUCCAAAAAUGCAGCACAUCUCCCCUAGAGUGGAAAAUUAAA